GAGUUGGGUUGUAAUGGU
rnacentral:siRNA from 1 species